CAUUACACUCGAAACUCAAUUGCGAAUCCAGACGCCAAAAGGAAAGAACGUCGCCGCCGAAGGAGCUGGAUGCCGCUAAACGAGUACCGAUGGCGAGAGGGGAAAAAGAGAAGAAUCCAAAGAAACAGCCGGCAUAAAAAUUACAAAUUAAAAAACGCUUGAAAAUAAUAAUACUCGCAAGAAGCGGGAAAUCGGUAAAGAGGAAGCCGGGGUAAAGUAAAAACUUUUGCCGAGCAACAAAAGCUAAUUAAGCCAUGGCGCACACAGACACAGACGCAGGCACAGACCCAGAACAAAGCAGAUAUGGAAAAACAAAUGGAAAAUGGAAAAAGAAAAUGGGUAGAAAAACUAAAGUAAAUUGAAAACUAGCAGAAAGGAAACGAACGUUGUGGAAGAAAGCUCAAGGAAGCUGUUAAAUAGCUUAAAUGGCGUUGAGCGUGUACGACAUGUGUUUGAGAUGCACCAGGAUAGUGGAAGAUACAUAGAUAUGGGGAUGUGGAUGUGCACUGGAAUGGGUAUCUUGCGGAACUUCAUGCACUUAUCAUUUCUAAUUGGAAAUCCGGUUCAAGCCGCCAAGAUCCGCUUACUAUACCAUACAGAAUUGAAAGAGCAAUGUACCGAUAGCUGCACAAGGGUAUAUCCACUUGAAUAGGGAAUCAUAUCACCUGCCUAUCAAAUACAAUCUUCAUAUAAAUGCA
rnacentral:sRNA from 1 species